rnacentral:rRNA from 1 species
CCUACGGGAGGCUGCAGUGAGGAGUAUUGGUCAAUGGACGCGAGUCUGAACCAGCCAAGUAGCGUGCAGGAUGACUGUCCUAUGGGUUGUAAACUUCUUUUAUAAAGGAAUAAAACGAGGCACGUGUGCCUUUUUGCAUGUACUUUAUGAAUAAGGAUCGGCUAACUCCGUGCCCGCAGCCGCGGUAAUACGGAGGAUCCGAGCGUUAUCCGGAUGUAUUUGGGUUAACAGGCGCGGAGAUGGGUAGUGAAGUCAGUUGUGAACGUUGGCGGCUCAACCGUAAAAUUGCAAUUGAGACUGGCAUUCUUGAGUACAGGUGAGGGAGGCGGAAUGCGUGGUGUAGCGGUGAAAGGCAUAGAUAUCACGAAGAACCCCGAGUGCGAAGGCAGCAGACUAAACUGUAACUGACAUUGAUGCUCGAAAGUGUGGGCAUCGAACAGGAUUAGAUACCCCAGUAGUC